UACGUAGGGGGCAAGCGUUGUCCGGAUUUAUUGGGCGUUAAAGAGCGUGUAGGCGGCCGUACAGGUCAGCUGUGAAAACUCGAGGCUCAACCUCGAGACGUCGGUUGAAACCGUACGGCUAGAGUCCGGAAGAGGAGAGUGGAAUUCCCGGUGUAGCGGUGAAAUGACGCAGAUAUCGGGAAGAACACCCGUGGCGAAGGCGGCUCUCUGGGACGGUACUGACGCUGAGACGCGAAAGCGUGGGGAGCGAACAGG
rnacentral:rRNA from 1 species